rnacentral:tRNA from 1 species
GGGGUUGUGGCUCAGCGGUAGAGCGCCUGCCUUGCACGUGUGAGACCCUGGGUUCAAUCCUCAGCACCA